rnacentral:rRNA from 1 species
UACGGAGGGGGCGAGCGUUAUUCGGAAUUAUUGGGCGUAAAGGGCGCGUAGGCGGCUGUACAAGUCAAAGGUGAAAUCCCUCGGCUCAACUGAGGAACUGCCUUUGAAACUGUACGGCUUGAGGCCGGGAGGGGGUAGCGGAAUUCCCAGUGUAGCGGUGAAAUGCGUAGAUAUUGGGAGGAACACCAGUGGCGAAGGCGGCUACCUGGACCGGUUCUGACGCUGAUGCGCGAAAGCGUGGGGAGCGAACAGA